AGCAUCCAAGAUGCUGUGUCGAACGGUUCUGAAAGCAGUAAUAUUACGCUCGUUAAUUAUGUGCAAUGAGAUACCCUAACAUGUUGGCUCCCGUGUCACUUGUUGGUUGCAUAACAUGAAAUUCCACGAGGAUGUCUUAUGCUAGUGCUUCUCAAACUUUUUUAGUCACGAGGGUAUAGCCGAUUUUUUAACUCACCAAGGAAGGCAGUAGGAGAUAUUAUACCGGUCCUCUUGGCUACCACAAUUGCGAUUCCAGUUUCCAUGUACGGCACUGUGAAGUCCACCACGGCUUCUCUUUCAGAAUUAAUCAUUAAAGACGUCAUCACCAUGUCGGUCUUUCGAUUUACCAGAUUUGAAAGCUCCUCAGAAAGCUACUACUAACGCUACUUAAGAGUGGCUGUAUCGAAAUGGGACAAUAGUAUCUAAGAGAAGAAAGUGCACACUAAUGGAAACUAACAAGAUCCAAUGGUAUC